UACGCUCACUGACAGCGAGCAGCCGAGUUCCUGUUCUCACUUCAGAUGAAAACUGUGAUCACUGAUCAGUCACGUCAGUCUGCGUGAGGAUGAGGGUGAAUAUCUACCUGCUCGUCUUAGUGCUUGGCUAUAAGGCCGCUGCAGGAAUAAUCCAUGAAAUAUUUGAAGAAAAGACACGGGUGUCUCUGCGAUGUCCUCACUCUGUGGAGGGAGUCGUGACGUGGAGCAGAGAGAGGAAUGGAGACAAAACUGACAUACUGACAUUUAAUGGUGACAGAAAUAUAAAACACGUUGAUGACCCGGGCAAACGAUACGGUUCAUUAGCUGAUAAGACACUGUUCAUUGUAAAAGCUGUCGUCUCAGACUCUGGAAGAUACUUCUGUAACAAUGAAGCAGCUGCAGAUCUGACGGUGAUCCCAUCAGGAACAACUCUAGUCCCUGCUUCAGAGAGGACCAGCAUCACUCUGACAUGUCCUCAUGAUGUCGGAGCAUCACAUGUUCCAACAUGGACCAGAGACUCUGGUGGAAUACCACUAAGAAGGUUUGAUGUUUCCCCUGUUGACCAGACGUUGACUAUAACAGACGUGCAGCCUGGUGACUCCGGACUUUACUACUGUGAUGGAAAACCAGCUGUUUAUCUGAAUGUAAUCAAAGGUUGGCUAACGUUGGCUAAUCUCCCUCUUCUCAUGUCACGUCUGAUGAACAAUAAGUUACGGGAGUGAGAAACACAAGGCAUUGUGAGCUAACGUUACGUAACAUUAGUACAAGGGGGAGUGACAGGCUGCAGCUGGAAAUCAGAAGAAAAAUGGUAACAUGGCACCACGCACAAAACCACAACCACAACAACCACAACCACAAGGACAAACCCAACAACCCCAACAACAACAACCUCGACAACAGCAACAACAACCCGGACAACAACAACAACCCCGACAACAGCAACAACAAGACAAACAUCAGCAGCACUUCCUCCAACAGAAGCAGAAGUAACAAC